CUAACUUCUGAUUGGUUCCUUGCCACAUGGAGGUAUUUGGCUUCCUAGUGACUAGGAGGUUGGGCAAAGUCAGGAAGCCCAGCACAUGUUGCUGAGUCAGAGGCUUUUGUCUUGCUGGGUCUUUUCUGCAGUCUGUCAUGGUUGCCAAAGCAAGGGGCUUGGUUGAGGGUCUAGUCCCUUCACUCCACAUUCUCAUGAGGGUCAUUGUCAAAUCAGGUGGCAGUAAGGCAAUUUAAGAGUUAUGAGAAGAUGACCCAGGGGGGCUCAAGGUGAAGGUUUGCUGUGAAUAUGUAUGAUGUGGGUCUCUUAGACAACGCUGGGAGGUUUGCCCAUUACAGGCAUCCCAUCAGAAGAGGGACCUGGGGAGGACCCCAGAGCAUUUCUACCUAGUGUGAUGCAGGCCAUAGUCUCCUAGUGAUAUCAUCACAUCUCUGCCUGAAAUGCUGGACAAAAAUGACUCAUGGGCUCAUUGGUCCACGCAUAUGACAUUUCACACACCCAAAUGCAGGCUGUGAUUCAAUAGGUGUGGCAAAGUUGGGAAAGAGGAGAGACAAGAAUGGUUUCAAGGACCCUACUACACAACCAGGAGAAGAAAAGACACCUCUUUGUCCUAACUGAUGCGAUACUAAAGAAGAAAUAAGGGAGAGGGCAAGAUUUGAUUUCAGAGUCUUUCUGUCAGAAACUAUGACUUGAAUGUUCCAAGGCAUGGUUCAUGGACCAGGAAGAAAAGUUCAGAUACUGAGUUUGAUUACUCUCAGUGUGGAAUAAGACAUUCUGUUGACAGUAGAUUGGUGACGAGGGGACAGAGCAGAAGAUGAUGGGGGUGGGGGGGGAGGAAGAAAGAGAUGAGAGAAGAAAUAAGUCAGGAAAACAACUGGACCAUCUUUUCAUGCUGGAAAAUGGGCAUGUAUUCAGUUUAUACUGACAUCACCAUCCUCUUGCCAAUGUCCUGGAUCCUUUCUUCCUUCCCAUGACAAACUCCAUUUUCAGGAUUCACUAGCUAAAUUCUGGUGUCUUUUGGAUGGGCUUUGUGUAAGCUGAAUUUUUCCAGCAGUUAAAAAAAAAACAGCGUCUUCCAUACCUGCAAAGGUAUUAUGCAACCUGGGUGACAUACCCUUGGGAGGAUUUACUAAGCAGAUGUGACAGACAGCACCGAGGGCAGGAAUAUAGGUUGAUAGGUGUCAGUUAGGUGUGGUUGCUCUUGUCUCUAGCCAUUUCGAAGUUGGCAGGUCCUCUGGCCUCGGGGAUGGGGUGUCCUUUUUGCACUUGUCCCUGCACCCAAGAGUCCAGGAGCAGAUUCAGCUUUGCUGAUGUCAUGCCCAGCUGUAUGCUUUAUGUCACCACUCUUCAUUUGUUGUUAGGGACUUUACCAUCUACUCCCAUUUGUAGACAGGAAGGGAAGAUAAGCAUUGUGUCCAAGGUCACAGAGUUAGUUACAUGCCAGAGCCCAAAUUUAAGGCCAAAGUCUAUGACCUUCUACUGGCGGUGUCAAGGAAAACAAGUUUAUGUGAAAUUCAGUCACUGAAUUUGUGACCUUGUCCUUUAUCUCAAGCCUUUCAGCGUUUCUCUGCCAUCCGCCCUUGACAUACACAAUGGGGAUAAGAGUGGGCACUGAAGUUGAGGCUGCCGAGAGGAUCUGGUGGGGCAAUGAGUGGGGCACAUGGCCCACAGAGUCCAUGCCAUGCACACCUCACACUAAGGAAACAGGCACUCUCUUCUCUACCUUUACGACACCCAGGGAGGAAGACUCCCGGUCACAGAAGAGACAGACCUACCUGAAAUAUGUCCACCCCAGGAGAAGAUAGGCCUUGACCACACCGAGCCAUAGCUGUGUUUGGAUCACACGGAUACUGAAAGGCCAAGACAUGACUCACAGAAGAUACUACACACCAUGGAAAACAGGACGGUGGGCCGCCAUCAGGCUCUGGUGACCUAGGUAUUGGAUUUCCUUUCUACAUUGGAUACUUUUCUCAUAGUUGUAGCCAAAUAACUGACGAAAGCAACUGAAGAAGAUUUUCUUUUGGCUCGAGUGCAUCAUGAGGGAAGGGCAUGGUUGCAAGUAGCUCUAUGGCAGUAGGAAACUGUAACUGGGACUCUCUAUAUUUGACAGAACAUUGGACAAAGACAAGAUGGGAAAUGGGGCUGGUAGAUAGGCCCCAAGGCCUGCAGUCAGUGACCUGCUUCCCCCACCAAGGCUUGGCCACCUAACGUUCCACGACUUCCCCAAACAGAAUCAUCAGCUUGAAGAAGAAAGUUUCUGUCCUGCUGGCCCUGCUGCUAUUCAGUCCCAAAUAAACACACAAAGUUUUAUGUUA